UACGUAGGUGGCAAGCGUUAUCCGGAAUUAUUGGGCGUAAAGCGCGCGCAGGCGGUUUCUUAAGUCUGAUGUGAAAGCCCACGGCUCAACCGUGGAGGGUCAUUGGAAACUGGGGGACUUGAGUACAGAAGAGAAGAGUGGAAUUCCACGUGUAGCGGUGAAAUGCGUAGAGAUGUGGAGGAACACCAGUGGCGAAGGCGACUCUUUGGUCUGUAACUGACGCUGAGGCGCGAAAGCGUGGGGAGCAAACAGG
rnacentral:rRNA from 1 species